AGUGAACGCUGGCGGUAGGCCUAACACAUGCAAGUCGAACGGCAGCACAGGAAGACUUGCCCUCUGCGUGGCGCGUGGCGGACGGGUGUGGGAUACACAUGAAUCUGCACAUUUGCGGGGGGUAACGCAGGGAAACUCACGCUAAUACACCAUACGCCCUCCGGGUGUAAGAGGGGGAUCGCAUGACACCUCGCGCUUUGAUGAGACGAUGUCGGAUUAGCUAGUUGGCGGGGUAAUGGCCCACCAAGGCGACGAUCCGUAGCUGGUCUGAGAGGAUGAUCAGCCACACUGGAACUGAGACACGGUCCAGACUCCUACGGGAGGCAGCAGUGGGGAAUAUUGGACAAUGGGCGCAAGCCUGAUCCAGCCAUACCGCGUGGGUGAAGAAGGCCUUCGGGUUGUAAAGCCCUUUUGUUGGGAAAGAAAACUUUCAGGCUAAUACCCUGGGAUGAUGACGGUACCCAAAGAAUAAGCACCGGCUAACUUCGUG
rnacentral:rRNA from 1 species